rnacentral:rRNA from 1 species
GCAUAUCAAUAAGCGGAGGAAAAGAAACCAACAGGGAUUGCCCUAGUAACGGCGAGUGAAGCGGCAACAGCUCAAAUUUGAAAUCUGGCGCAAGCCCGAGUUGUAAUUUGUAGAGGAUGCUUCUAGGUAGCGACCGGUCUAAGUUCCUUGGAACAGGACGUCAUAGAGGGUGAGAAUCCCGUAUGUGACCGGCCCGCACCUUCUACGUAGCUCCUUCGAAGAGUCGAGUUGUUUGGGAAUGCAGCUCUAAAUGGGAGGUAAAUUUCUUCUAAAGCUAAAUACCGGCCAGAGACCGAUAGCGCACAAGUAGAGUGAUCGAAAGAUGAAAAGCACUUUGGAAAGAGAGUUAAAAAGCACGUGAAAUUGUUGAAAGGGAAGCGCUUACAACCAGACUUCUGGGCGGUGUUCCGCCGGUCUUCUGACCGGUCUACUCGCCGUCCCGAGGCCAACAUCAUCUGGGACCGCUGGAUAAGACCUCAGGAAUGUAGCUCCCCUCGGGGAGUGUUAUAGCCUGUGGUGAUGCAGCGCGUCUCGGGUGAGGUCCGCGCUUCGGCAAGGAUGUUGGCGUAAUGGUUGUCAGCGGCCCGUCUUGAAACACGGACCAAGGAGUCUAACAUCUAUGCGAGUGUUCGGGUGUCAAACCCCUACGCGUAAUGAAAGUGAACGGAGGUGGGAAGGGUAACCUGCACCAUCGACCGAUCCUGAUGUCCUCGGAUGGAUUUGAGUAAGAGCAUAGCUGUUGGGACCCGAAAGAUGGUGAACUAUGCCUGAAUAGGGUGAAGCCAGAGGAAACUCUGGUGGAGGCUCGCAGCGGUUUCUGACGUGCAAAUCGAUCGUCAAAUUUGGGUAUAGGGGGCGAAAGACUAAUCGAAACCAUCUAGUAGCUGGGUUCUGCGA